rnacentral:tRNA from 1 species
GCCAGGAUGGUCUAAUCGGUUAAGGCGUCGCCCCGGUCAGGCGAAGGUUGCGGGUUCAAUCCCCGCUCCUGGCA